rnacentral:lncRNA from 10 species
CUCCCGCCUCCGCCUCCUCCCGCCUCCGCCUCCUCCUCCGCCUCCUCCUCCUCCUCCUCCUCCUCCGCCUCCUCCUCCUCCUCCUCCGCUUCUGGCUUCUCCUCCUUCUUCUCAGGCUCAUCACAACAACUUUUACACCUCCUCCUCCUCCUUUUCUUCUUCUUCUUCUUCUUUUUUUUUUUUUAUGGCGUCUCGCCCAGCCUGGAGUGCAGAGGCAGUCUUGGCUCACUGCAACCUCCACCUCCGGGGUUCAACUGAUUUUCCCGCCUCAGCCUGCUGAGUAGCUGGGAUUACAGGCACCCUCAUCAAGUCCGGCUAAUUUUUGUAUUUUUAGUAGAGACAGGGUUUCACCAUGUUGGCUAGGCUGGUCUUGACCUCCUGACCUCGGGUGAUCCUCCUGCCUCGGCCUCCCAAAAUGCUGGGAUUACAGGCGUGAGCCACCACGCACGGCUUCUGUUGUUCGUUGAAAUCAUCAUUUUUCUAAUGUCCUCAUUCUCUGCUGGCUAGUUUAAGGGCUGAUUCAAAAAAUAAAUUUUCACACUGUGAAAUACGCAAGAUGAAGAGAACAUUUAUAAAAUAUCCAUACUGUGCAUCUCUGAAUAAUCUUUUCUUCACAUCAGCGGCAGUACAAAUUAGGUGGAGUUUUAAAAGAUACUUCAGCAACUUACAGAUUACAGCAUGUUAUGUAUCUUCAAGCAGUGAGAGGAUAUUACGUUGCAGAAUUUGGUCAGAAUAUGAAGUUUGGAAGACCCUAUAUUCCUGCAGAUCCUUGGAUUGAGGUUAAUUCGAGAGCAAGCCGUGAGUGAGGCCUCUGAGCUCAAGCCUGCACGUAUACAUCCAGAUGGCCUGAAGUAACUGAAGAAUCACAAAAGAAGUGAAAAUGGUCAGUUCCUGCCUUAACUGAUGACAUUACCUUGUGAAAUUCCUUCUCCUGGCUCAUCCUGGCUCAAAAGCUCCCCCACUGAGCACCCUGUGACCCCCAUCCCUGUCCACCAGAGAACAACUCCCUUUGACUGUAAUUUUCCACUACCCACCCAAAUCCUAUAAAAUGGCCCCACCCCUAUCUCCCUUCGCAGACUCUCUUUUUGGACUCAGCCCACUGCACCCAGGUGAAAUAAACAGCCUUGUUGCUCACACAAAGCCUGUUUGGUGCUCUCUUCACACGGACGCGUGUGACACUUCAUGAUUACUUUUAUUUGGACAAAGAGAAACCCUUGAAUAAUGAAGGUUCUCACAUAUAAAAUGUGCUUUUAAUUUUUAAUACCUUACAAAAUUAUCAGAUUAAAUGACGUGGUAAAAAGUCAUAUGUAGGUUAACAUCAGAUGUUAUCGUUCAUUGCAUCUUCUGGUCAGAUAAUACUGAGGUUAUUGAAAUAUACAAUGGCCUCAAAUGCAUUAAGAGCAAAAAUAAAAAAUUUCCCACUAGUUAGCAAUUUAAAAAAAGUUGUCAAAAUAAUUGUUUCCUGAUAAUAUCUACCAGAAGCAUUUAUGCUCUCAUAGACAAAUUAAUAUCAGCCAUUGGGGAGGCCUCUCAUAACUGGAGUGUCCUUGCUUGAACGCUACUGCUGAGAGCCACGAAGCAAAGCGAGCAUGGCAGGUAGUUAGUCCAAGAAUAAAUUCAAAUAACAUAAAAUAAAAAUAAAAUAAAACCUGUUAUGGACUACAAGUAAGAGGCAGUGUCUAUUUGCUGAAAUUCAAUCCAAUUACUUUAUUGUCCCAGGAUUUUGUUUUUUAAUUUUCAUCUCCUUAUAAAUGUUUCCUCAUAGUCAUUUGGUAGCAGCAUAUUUAUGUUCACUUUUAUCCAAUACAGGCUGCAAAUAUGCCCUUCACUUGACCCGGUCUAUUAACUUUGAAAUGCCUAAAGCCAAAACUGACAGUGGAAGAAAAUCUUUCUGGGUUGUAGUUCCAAACUGUUGGAAUAAAGCUACCUGCUUCAGUAAAAAUGCAUAGGCGUAUUACUUUUCUUUCAGGAAAUGUUAAGCUUUCCUUGAAAUUAAAAAAAAAAAAGAUUUUAGAAUUAAAUGUAGGAAAACUCAAUUUCUCAAUUCUUAUUUUCAAUAUGCUUUAUCUGUACUAUGUUUAAGAGUAUACAACACCUAUGCUAGUGUAAAUGUGGGCCCCAGGAGUCUUAAUCAUAUUAAAAAUUUUGGAGUUUCUUGUCCUAGUAUAUAUUUGCUAAUAAACUUCCAUUGCUUUCAGAGAUACAAAAAUUUCUCCUGGUUAUUUGCUGUUUUUACUUUUAAGAACCAAGUGAAAAUUUGAAUGGCUACUGUAUUUUAUAAUUAAUGUUAAUAUUCAUAGGGUAUAAAAAUAUGUUUUUCUAGCUCUAAUCCAGUUAUAUAGCUUCUAUUAUUAUUUUUUACUUUCUCCUGUGCCUUAUAGAAAUCUGCCAUCAAAACCAAGUCACUGGCCCUACCACAUUUGCUACAACUCUGAUAUUCCACAUUUUACAAAGACAGAAUUUGGCUCUUGUUGUCCAGGCUGGAGUGCAAUAGCAUGAUCUCAGCACACUGCAAACCCCGCCUCCCAGGUUCAAGCGAUUCUCCUGCCUCAGCCUCCCGAGUAGCUGGGAUUACAGGUGUGUGCCACCACACCCAGCUAAUUAUUUUUUGUAUUUUUAGUAGAGAUGGGGUUUCACCAUGCUGGUCAGGCUGGUCUCAAACUGACCUCAGGUGAUCCACCUGCCUUUGCCUCCCAAAAUGCUGGGAUUACAGCCAUGAACCACCACAACCGGCCACUCACUGAACUUCGACUCUGUUCCAGGAACUACAAUAUACUUAAUGGAGUUUACCAAGAUUAGUUUUGCUGUAUUCAUCACUUUCAAAUACUUUAUUCUAUAGACUGAGCGAGACUGAAUCCUUGCUGUGGAAUUACCAAGUUCUGUUAAUGGACAAUUAUUUAACCCUGAAGAAAACAAAAAAAUUGAAAAUAAAAUGUCUGACA